GGCAUCUUGUCCGAGUGGUUAUGGAGUUGGUUUUAAGCACCAAUGCUCGAAAGAGCGCGCGCGUUCGAACCGCGCAGAUGUCA
rnacentral:tRNA from 2 species